GUGAAAGUCUAGACACCUAUGCACUAAAAACUGAAUCCAUCUUGCUCUAGUAUCCCUGACUGAUGGUAUCAGUGAUGCCAAAAAGAAUAAUAUAUAAAAUUCUUGAGUUGGACUCACACUCUACAAGCUUGAAACUCCAUUGCUCAUUUGAUCACUUGAAGCAGCUAAACACUGUAGUUUUUAGUUCCAAGUGCAGGUUCAUUCAGGUAUGGCCUCCUGUGGUGUUGCAGGUCUGAUGCAGGUGUCUGUUGCCCCAUCACCUUUACAUAUUCAGACGACUGCCCGAGUUGCUCUGAGCCCCUCCAUAUCUCUCGUCAACACCAUCUCUUAUGGGUUGAGUUUCUAACUCUGCACUCGUGAAUUUCGAAAUUGGCGGUCCAUGGGAUACUUCUCUUGAGCGGUAUUCUCCACUGACUGUGUUGAAUUCGGAGCUAUCAUCACUGCUAAAGGCCAUCCUUCUGAAUCUCUUAAUCUCCUGAUUGUACUGACCAGAAUCAUAUGCAGUGCUUUGGCCAUACUUCACACCAUUAGUGAGAUCAAACAUUUCUUCACUGUCCAAUGCUCUCACCACCUGCACCAUUCGUGGCCGUUUUGGAGCAGAAUGACGAACACAAGCAGUUGCUGUCUCGAUCAUCUUGAACAUUUCGCUCUCCAUGUAACGCUUUUCAAGCCUAGGAUCAACAAAUUCACCAAGAUCACCAGUUUCAAUUGCUUGAAUGAGGUGUGGACGAGCCCAUUCAACCAAACUUUCUUCCCCCAAAGGCUGAGUUGGAUCGACAGGUUUCCUUCCAGUUAUAAGCUCUAGAAGUACAACUCCAAAUGAAUACACAUCAGAUCUAUCUGUCAAUUUUCCACUUGAUGCAUAUUCUGGUGCUAGGUACCCAAAU
rnacentral:misc_RNA from 1 species